GAUGGAGGAUGGAGUAUGGCGCACUCAAGCGACGGACAGCAGUAGCCGUUUCGGCCCCUGAUAACGAUGGAUGAUGACUGGGACAUGGACUGGGUCUAAAUGGAACACUGUCCCGGGGCUCUGACCGGGGCGAAGCGACGCGACCACCGAUCGGAGGAUCAGCAUCUGGCUGGAUGGCUUCUAAUGCCUCUUUCAAAUGUGCCGCACUUCCUACGGGCUAUGCUCUGCUCCGCUCCGCUCAGCUCUUCUCCUGCUCCUUCACUAUUAAUUAGAAUGUAUGGCCGUUGCCUCUGUGCCCCAGCCCCUGCCCCUGCCUCCUUCCCCGCUCCCCUAUACUUUUUGGCAUUUCAGAGUUAACGGCACGCGACAUUUUAAAUAUGUAUGAUGCCCUCCAUCCAUCGCGCUGGGCUCCUGUUUGGGGUUCUCGGACUGCCUGACACUCGCCUCGUUUGCACCAGCGCAGAGGACUACGACUACCCUGAAGCAGCUGUUGAAAUUGAUGCCUGCCCUGGCGUUCGGCAUUUGUGUCGAAUAUGCAGCACGGACGGGCAUGGGAUGCGGAUACUCGAGUACUCCUGGGCUUGUUAAGAUAAUGAACACUAUAGCUGGACUGCCCCCGAAUCUGGGAUACCCUAGCCAUCGCUUGUCAAAUCUAAUGGAUGCCCAGAAUACGAUUAAACGGAAUAAUCUUCAAGCUGAUUUUCGCAUUAUACAGAUUCUUAAUAAAAGAAAUAGAAAUACUAUGCUAUUGAAUCUAUAGCAUCUACAUAUACUCUCAUUAUAGAUAUACGAUUUACUCCUAAACCAUGCAGAUGAAAAUCCUUGUAGCAAUAUCCUUUUCUCGCAUUCUGAAAGUUUGAAUAAAUGCCGCCCAUUGAAUGU